GACAGAGGGUGCAAACGUUGUUCGGAAUUACUGGGCGUAAAGCGCGUGUAGGCGGCUAAGUAAGUCGGGCGUGAAAUCCCACGGCUCAACCGUGGAAGUGCACUCGAAACUGCAUAGCUAGAGUCCUGGAGAGGAAGGUGGAAUGCUUGGUGUAGAGGUGAAAUUCGUAGAUAUCAAGCGGAACACCGGUGGCGAAGGCGGCCUUCUGGUCAGUGACUGACGCUGAGACGCGAAAGCGUGGGGAGCAAACAGG
rnacentral:rRNA from 1 species